GCUUUUGAGCAUUUAUUCAGUAAUCAGCACCCUCCCCAGUCUGGUUGAUGGUGAGUUAUAAAGUAACACAAGAGAAUGUUCACUUUGCUUAAAAUUUGCCUUUAUGUCCACUUGCUUUCAUGGCUAUACAUGAUAAUUUCACAGACUACCUACCCCCUUCCACACCAUCUCCUCUGUCUCUGUAGAUAACUAGGUAGUCUGUGGACAUAAGCAACAUGUGAUCUUUUCUCUUACUCUGAUCCAACUCACCAGUGUUCAGACAUGACAGAUUUUUGGCCAGUUUCUUUCCUUCAUGAGCUUUACUCUGCUAACUUCUUGAUAAUUCAUCAACUGAAUUGUAUCCUUCCUCCCUUUCUCAUGACAGAACGUAUCCCUAGUGGUCUUGCUGGCUGCCCUCUUGCCAACCAUGUUUUAUCUGCAGACAUCAGAAUGUUUCUCUCCAUUGACCUUUACUAAAGACCAAAAACGAUGGUGCUUUUCAUACCCAGGGUCCUAAUUCACCAUGAAGGUUGAUGUUGUUCCAAUUGGUCAAUCACUUAAAUCUUAACAGAUGGCUGAGAAAUUCUCUCCAGUUAAAUGUCUUUGUGACUAGUAAAUAGCAUGAAUUACAGAUUCUAUUUUAAAUUAUGUUUAGGAUUAGGAACUUUUCCAGCAGUUGCAACCAAUGAUUUUCCUCUAAUACCAGCCCAUUUCCACCUUGGAGCGUAUUGUGUUGUUGUUAGUACGAUCAAGAGUAAUGACGAUAGUGAGUGGUCUCUAGAGGUGGUCAGAAUCCUACUGUUGAGUUCCUUUUAUGUCUUUUCAAGCUUUCAUGAAUACUUUGUGUUCAGACUACCUUUUAUGUGGGGAUUGAGGGACAAAUCAUCUCUUGGAGUGGAAUUCCUGUAUUUGGAGCCUCAACCAGGAAACAUCAGCUAUACUAGAUAUAGACAGCCUCAUGAUAGACUUUAUGGUAAGAACUUGUCUAAUUUCUUGAAUAAUUUCUUGUAAUUUUUUGAAUAGGAACGGUUUUAUCUUGGAUAUUAUAGCUAACUUUAUAUAUAGCAUAACUGCCUUAAAUCUUUUUAGUAGGAAAUAAAUUCUAUUGUGUGUGUGUAUGGAUUUAUAGAUACAUACACACUCCUAGGAAAACCUUAACAGUAGGGGUCAUUUAUCUGCUUACAUUUUAGCAUCACGGAGUAAUUCUGUUGUUUAAAUCUCAGAUCUCACUGAGAGUUCCUUAAUUUGCUUGCAGACAUUUUCUUUUCAGACCUUCGGAGUAAUUUAUUUAUUCUGCCAAAGUCCUGAUUGGCAGUUCGGUUAGUAUGCCAUUUUUAGGCAGCUUGAUAAUGAAGAAUCAUAACUGGAAUUCUUUAACAUCAAGUAAAACUACGAUAGACACCCAUUGAUUAAAUUAUUAUACGUCCAGUGGUCUCUGGAAGGUACUAGAGUAGGGUUAACUUUUUUUUUUUAAGUGUCAGAUUGCCAUCCCCUGUUUUCAUCUCAGCUUAAGAUUGCUGAGCUGCUUAAGAUACCUGGGAGGUAGCACUACCAAGUUAAGUUCUCCUGUAGUUAAGGGCAGCCUGAAGGUGGUUCAGACCUGACUUUCUUAGCUGUGCUCAACAGAAAUGGAUUUUCCAAAGUUCUUUGGGUCAUCUCUGAUUCACAGACUCCUGACCAGAGUGUGUUAGCCUAAGUUAACUUCAGUGUCCAUUGGUUUGCUGCCAUGAGAUCUGUAAUUGACCACACAUUUCAAGCACUGGUGGAGACAGAAGGGCCCUUGGAAGAAUAAUGCUGCUGUUGAUGGGAGUGAGAAGGAUUCGUUAGCACCACACAAAGGACGUAUAGAUUUUUCUCCAAAAAAAAUCCUGCAAAAUCAUCUUCUCCUACCCUUCAAAAAAAAAAAAAAAAAAAAGAAAGAAAGAAAGCUCUUUGUUUCUCCAGAAUGUUCAGUGAGAAGUUAAGGAUUUACUUCCUAUUUCUAAUUAAAGAUGAUCAUUCAUUGAACCAUGAGAUCCAUAAUAUACUGAUAUAAGAACAAAAGUGAAGUCUUAGACCUCGAAAAAUACUUCAUUAUGUAUUUUGCGUUUCACACUCCACUUUUCUUCUUUCUCUCUGUGGCUUUAAAGCUUUUGGCUAUUUUACACUGUUAGUCACUAGAUAACUUGCCAUAUUUCUGGUUCUAUAUUAAGUUCUACCCUUUACAAUGCCGUAGCAGAAAGUUGAUUCUCAGCAUCUGUCUGUAGGGAUAGAAGUCUUACUAAAAGUCUCUUCCAAAGAGAUUUUCAUUUUCCUUUUUUCAGUAAGUCCCUUGAGAAAUAUGUCGGUCUCGUUAUUCACGUUCUUGGAUUGUUCAAACAAAAGAGUACAUUGGUGAGAAUAGGGUGCUUUUCUGGUGAAUGUAUGUACCUGCUUUAAGAAUGUAAUCAUUUGUUGGUUUGUGGAACUACCAUACACACAGAUUAAUUGAAAUUGGGGGAAAUCAUCACAUGUAGCAAGUAGGUAAUCUGCAUAGAUUUAAUUUUAAAAAUCCUGUUUCUUGGCAAGACUCAGAACCCAAAUUGGUCACUUUUUUAGACCAACUUUACCUCAGGCUUCAUUGUUGCUUCUCUGACCCUGACAUUUAAGGCAUAAAUAUGUAUAUCUUUUUAUUAGCGAUAGCGAAGCUGUGACACGAACCAUUUUUACACAAGAGGGCAAAACAAGAAAAAGUAGAGAUUACGCCGAAAGCAGAUGUGCAGUUGUUGAACUCGAUCACAGCGUUGUAGGCAAAAUAGAAAUGUUCGUAUCUGAGAGUACUCUUUGCCAUCACUUCCCAAGGCCAGGCCUCCUGGCAGAACGCUGUAAAAAGUAACAAUUCCGGGCCUUUGUAAUCUGAGGGGAGUAUCUCCAGUUGGCAGUCUUUUCAAUAUAUGAAGCAAGAAUGUGGGAAAUAGUUGGCAAAGAGUGUUUUCACCUAAAAAAAGAAAACGAAAAGACAUAUAAAACUGAAUUAUUCAUUUAGCUCUGAAAAUCUCAGAAAGAUUCAGUGAAAUACUAUAUAACUGGACCAAACGAGAAGAAGCUUUAGAGGAUUUGUCUGAAAACAGGUUUCAAGAAUGAACUUUUGUACACUGACCACUAAUUUGCUUAGGUACCACCAACUGUUCUUACAACGGACACCAUUAAAUAAAGAAUCCAUGGACUUCUCGGAGCUUGCCAUUAGCAAUGCCCUAAAAGUGUUUUUUGAGCUGAUGUCCUCAUAGGUAGCCUUAUGAUCUUGAAAAUUCUUACCUUUUACCUAGGGAUACAAGGGGAAGAGUGAGUGGUGUUCUCAGUGUGACCGGCGGCCCUGGGACGCUUGGGACUGAGGUGUUCCCUGCAUGCAGGACUUUCAGUUCCAAACCUGGCAAAGUCCUGAGUGCGCCGGGAAGAACUGUCACCCUAGGUGUUCUUACGACUAACCCUCACUCCCUAAAACAUUGUGAUGGUUACAGUUAAGUUCAGCUGCCUUAGGGCUUGUCAACAUUGCUGAUACUUGGAUGUGUGUCCUCCAGUCACUUACUACUGUGGACGGAAUGUGAGAUUCAUAACAAAGAAUAGCAAAUGGCACCAACGUGGUGGUGACACUUCACACUUAGUAAUCCAGGGAAGGUAACCAGGGGGCUAAUGAAACAGAAGAGGCAACUAGAUAGCUAAGUUCCUCAGAACCUGUGUGUAUAUGGAAGUACAAAUCAUGUCUUUAUGGGGUUAAAGCGCAUCUGAAAUUUACAUGGUUCACAGUAAGAGAAAACUGAGUGGUAUUGUGGAUUUCUUCUCGCUUGAGAGAAAAUACGGCCUUGGAUGCUCUAGCCUCUGCUGCGUUCUGCAGACUGUCCUGCUCAAGAGGCCAGGAUGUAGUGUUUCUUCUCAGUGACUGUUGUAUUGAGAUUACUAAAUGCAUCGGCCAAUGGCAGGGGAAGAAAGUGGGUGUCCGGAUCCAGACUGAGCGGUGCCCUCAGUUUUGGUAGCCCCCUACCCCUCAGGUGUUUACCAGCUAGAACGCCAAGCACGGGAGGUGAGAUUUUUCUAAUACAGCAUUAAUUUUGUCAUGCAACAUAUGAGGGAUGCAGUCUGUCGCGUUUCCCUGUGGUGGUCCUCGGAGCCUGCGUCCUCUGUGCACUGUGAUGUAGAUGGUAGGUGUGUUCUUUGUAAGCUUUAAUCCUAUGGUUGUCAAAAGUAUGAUGUGGUUCCAUUUUUUUUCUUUUUUAAACGAGCUGAGGCUUCAUUGCAGCUGGUUUUCAAGUUAAAAUUGUGAAAUACUGAUUUCCUUCCCCUCGCCCACACCAAAUAUUUUAGUCUAUUUAAAGUACAAAAAAAAAAAAAAAAUAGUUCUACUUAAGAAAACAUUGCUUAAAUGUCCUGUGAUUUCUGGUCAAUUUUUAUAUAUAUUUGUGUGUGUCUGUAUGUGCUCUCACUUUUUACCUUGUUUGCUCUCUACCUGUGUUAACAGUACUUUCACCAUUGAAAGGUGAACAUUUUUCCUAGCAUUAAAGAAAAAAAGCCAUUUGAGUUGUUUACCAUGUUAUUAUGGGACUAAUUCUUAAUUGUUUUAAUUGAUUUUAACGUAAACUGAUCUUUGUUAGAGGGGAUUAUAUUUUGCUGUCCAUGCCCUAAAUUAUAUGGAAACAAAAAAAAAUUGUGUUUCACAUGAUGGCAGUAUGAUACGAAGAGUUCAUCUUUUUCUUUAAGUUUUGUUCUAUAUAAAAAGUUUAUUCUACUCCCCUGGCAGACAGAUACACACUGCUUGAUAUUACACCCCACAGCACACCCAUAACACAUACCCCCCAGUGCCGGUAAGUUACACGGUUUAGUUUCUUUCAGAGCCUGCUUGUGCCAAAUUAAUGAUCUCCAAUACGUAUCAACUGCUGUAAACAAAACAGACUAGAAGGGGAAAUUCACAUUUACUCUCAAAAUGUACUCCUAGCAAAAACAACAACAACAACAAAAACCUUUUAAGCAAGAUUCCAUUGAAAAAAGAGUAAGCCACAGCUUACUCAUAAUUAGCUAUAGUGUCACAAAAUAAUUGAAAACGCUAAAAACUUUUUAGAUGAGCCAAUUCCUCUGUGCCUUGCAAGAGCUCAGCUCCUAGGAUGAAUCAAUACUUCUGGUUAGCAGACUGCUUUCUUCAAAUCAUUUAAGACAGACGCGCUUUAGGAUGUAACAAAAGGGACUUCACAAGCGGAAGUACGUGCUACUCUGCUUGGCAUUGAAUAGUCUAGGAACUAGCAUGGUUGCAUCAACAAUCUUGAAUUGGUAGAAACCUAUUCAAACAAACCCUACUUAAAUUGCUACUCCAUGGAACUUUAUAAACCAUGUGAAAGGAAUCUUCCAGCAUUAACUACAGCACUGCACUAGACAGACGGCAGGAGAAGAUCGUUUUCCAUUGUCACCUCACCCUGGGAACGUUCCUGGCUCAUUAACCUGUUAGUGACACUGGUUGUCUGCACUGGGAGAUUUCCAUAAUUACCCUAGUCUCCAUAAUUGCACAUGCUCACCAAAGGGCUGAAGAGUAGGGGAGGAGUAUGUUGGGUGUUUGGGCUUUAUCACCAUUUGGCAAAUCCUUUCCCUUCCCCCCCGCCCUUGCUUCAAAAUAGAUUGAAAGCCCCUUAGUUUGGGAAGCAGAUCUUUUACUAUCAAAAUGAUGUAUUCCAGUGCUGUCAUUUUAAGCACCUGAUACAUCCGAGGGUGAAGACCGUGUUCAUCUGCUACUCAAGAACAUACUUGUCCCGUGCAGUUGUCCAGCUCCCUUUCCUCCUCUUCAUCACAAUACAAAGAUGAGCCCGACCUGAAAAUGAAUAGUUCACCAAUGUAGGAAUCCCAAAGAACAAAGGCAUAUAUAAAAGCUACUUUCUGCUAUGAUAAACAGGUAUGGAAACGUGUAGAAUCGGUUUAGCUGAUGGUUAUUUUGUGUAAAAGCGAAUGUCAUGUUGGUUUGCACAUAGGAAGACAUUUCCAAAAUCAACCACAUUACUAGAAGGCAAGAACAUUGAAUCCGACUUAAUGGGUAACAAGUUCAGUGAUAACCAACAACAGACUAAGCCUGCCUUUAGGAAGCUGCAAACAAACCAUGUGUUUCUGUGCUCCAGUGCAAGCUACGUGACCUUACGGUUGGUUAUGGGAUAAUGGAGUUUGAGAUAGGGAUUGGCCACCGCUUCUGUGUUCUGUCUUCGAUAGUUUUGUUGGCUGCCUCUGCACCUACCUUAAUGCUAUCCAGUAAUAAGGUUGCUUAAAAAGUUUUGAAAGUAAUUUAGGAAAGAUGAUCCCGGAGGAGGAAGAAGGUGCUUCUGAAUGAUGUGCGGUAAGAGAAUGGACAAAAUACCGUCUAAACACAAUAUUCAAGGAUGCGCUGAAUGUGGACGGAUGGAGAGGACUUGAGAAGCUGUUCGAAAUGAGGUCUUGGAGCCAAACUCUUGCUUGUGACUUUGUGCACGAAAGCGGGACGUCGCAAAGGAUAGGAGAAUACCCAACAUAACCCUGGCCAAGUUCAUCGUCGCCGCUGCUCCCGCCGCUCUCACAUGAUUGGAAUUCACACCCGCUCAACUGAGCCUUGCUUGUGCAGAGCUAGAAGAAUCCACCUCACAAAUGAGGUAACAGGAAGCAUUCAGUUCGGAAGAAAUGUUAAUGAUAAACAUUUACAUUCAUUAGUGCCACUUCCAAGACAUUUGUGGGACUUAAAUGUGGUGAUGCAGUCUGCACCCCUGCUGUACGUACUACUGCACGGUGGCCGUUUUGGAAGCAUGGAGUGCUUCCGGGGAGCUUCACCAAGACUAAUGCUUUAGCAAAGAUCUGCUUGACUGAUCGCGGUAUGUUGUAACUGACACAAAUCUUUAAAAAGGAAACACUGCAAUCAUCUGUGGCCUGUUUCUAUAUUGCAAGUAUCAAACAUUGUCUGGGGAGGCUGAGUCCCUGCGAUGCAGGAAGUUAGGAAGUGAGCUUCUCUUUGGUGGGACAGCUGUGCUGGGUAGCCCUCGAAAGUAAAGUUGACCUCAGCCUUCAGCUUUUGUGUGUCCAGCAUUUAUUUACCACGGUUUCUCAGAGCACUGAGUACAUUUCUCCUUGAAUAUAUAUUUAAAUGGGCGCCCCUUCCCCACACUCAUUUAAUGGUCACACAACUCCCUUUGAUUACCACGUUCAUGUACAUACACCAAAGUUUUUUGUAGUCUUACUGGCAACCCGGUGAAUGGGACUUUUUAACAUCUUUGUUGUCUCUAAUAUACCCAUUUUUAUGAAAUACAGAACCGCCUAACAAAAACCUCACUCAGAUCAUAACAAUCCGAGAAAAACACUGGUGUAUAUUUUUUCCAUUCUUUACUUUGGAUGUGUAUAUAUAUUUAACAGGAAAUGUUUGGAGCUUCUCUAACAGCAUAGUUAGAGCUAUUGAAAGUUGUUGAGAAAAAUCUUAAAAUACAUCAGCCCAUUCAGCAAGCCAUAGUGGACGUUUAAUAUAAUUUCUUUUUACUUGCUUUGAGGAACACAAAAGAUCUGUGUUGGUUUACUUAAAACUUGGGCUUUGAAAUUAAAUACAAACAUUUUGGACGUCC